AAUGGGCGAAAGCCUGACGCAGCAAUGCCGCGUGCGGGACGAAGGCCCUAGGGUCGUAAACCGCUUUCAGCAGGGACGAAAAUGACGGUACCUGCAGAAGAAGCUCCGGCCAACUACGUGCCAGCAGCCGCGGUGAUACGUAGGGAGCAAGCGUUGUCCGGAAUUACUGGGCGUAAAGGGCUCGUAGGUGGUUGAGUAAGUCGGAUGUGAAAUCUCAGGGCCCAACCCUGAGCGUGCACCCGAUACUGCUCUGACUAGAGUCCGGUAGGGGAGCGUGGAACUCCUGGUGUAGCGGUGAAAUGCGCAGAUAUCAGGAAGAACACCGACAGCGAAGGCAGCGCUCUGGGCCGGUACUGACACUGAGGAGCGAAAGCAUGGGUAGCAAA
rnacentral:rRNA from 1 species